UGCCUCACGAAUCUAAAUGAGAGGUCAAUCCUGCCCAGUGACCUAUUUAGUUCAACGGCCGCGGUACCCUGACCGUGCUAAGGUAGCAUAAUAAAUCGCCCUUUAAUUGUGGGCUUGUAUGAAUGGACAAACGAAAGAACCCCUGUCUCUAUAGUAAAAAUAAAAAUUAGCUUUCAGGUGAAGAGACCUGAAUAAAAUUAAAGGACAAGAAGACCCUGUAGAGCUUAGUCUUUUUUAAAUUAAAUGACUACAACUGCCUUUAUAUAUUUUACUUCUAUCUAAGACUUGGCUGGGGCGGCCGAGGAAAUUAAUCUUCCAUCUCUAAACUCUCCGGUUUUUAAACCAUAAUAAUUGACCCCUAAAGAUCAAAAAAUAAAGCUACCUCAGGGAUAACAGAUUAAUCCUUCUCGAGAGUUCGCAUUGACAGAAGGGCUUGACACCUCGAUGUUGGCUUAAGAUACCCAAUAAAUUGCAGCAGUUUAUAACGGUAGGUUUGUUCAACCUUUAAAAUCUU
rnacentral:rRNA from 1 species